rnacentral:rRNA from 1 species
CUCAGGACGAACGCUGGCGGCGUGCUUAACACAUGCAAGUCGAGCGGGGAUUGAUGGAGUGCUUGCACGAAAUCAAUUCUAGCGGCGGACGGGUGAGUAACGCGUGAGCAAUCUGUCCUACACAGGGGGAUAACAACUGGAAACAGUUGCUAAUACCGCAUAAGACCACGAGGUCGCAUGGCCAUGGGGUAAAAGAAUUAUCGGUGUAGGGUGAGCUCGCGUCUGAUUAGCUAGUUGGUGAGGUAACGGCCCACCAAGGCGACGAUCAGUAGCCGACCUGAGAGGGUGAUCGGCCACAUUGGAACUGAGACACGGUCCAGACUCCUACGGGAGGCAGCAGUGGGGAAUAUUGGGCAAUGGGCGCAAGCCUGACCCAGCAACGCCGCGUGAAGGAAGAAGGUUUUCGGAUUGUAAACUUCUGUCCUUGGUGACGAACAGAAUGACGGUAGCCAAGGAGGAAGCCCCGGCUAACUACGUGCCAGCAGCCGCGGUAAUACGUAGGUGGCAAGCGUUGUCCGGAUUUACUGGGUGUAAAGGGUGCGCAGGCGGGACUGCAACUUGGAUGUGAAAUACCGGAGCUCAACUCCAGAACUGCAUCCAAAACUGUAGUUCUUGAGUGGAGUAGAGGUAAGCGGAAUUCCGAGUGUAGCGGUGAAAUGCGUAGAUAUUCGGAGGAACACCAGUGGCGAAGGCGGCUUACUGGGCUCUAACUGACGCUGAGGCACGAAAGUGUGGGUAGCAAACAGGAUUAGAUACCCUGGUAGUCCACACUGUAAACGAUGAAUACUAGGUGUGGGGGGACUGACCCCUUCCGUGCCGGAGUUAACACAAUAAGUAUUCCACCUGGGGAGUACGACCGCAAGGUUGAAACUCAAAGGAAUUGACGGGGGCCCGCACAAGCAGUGGAUUAUGUGGUUUAAUUCGACGCAACGCGAAGAACCUUACCAGGACUUGACAUCCAACUAACGAAGUAGGGAUACAUUAGGUGCCCUUCGGGGAAAGUUGAGACAGGUGGUGCAUGGUUGUCGUCAGCUCGUGUCGUGAGAUGUUGGGUUAAGUCCCGCAACGAGCGCAACCCCUAUUGUUAGUUGCUACGCAAGAGCACUCUAGCGAGACUGCCGUUGACAAAACGGAGGAAGGCGGGGACGACGUCAAAUCAUCAUGCCCCUUAUGUCCUGGGCUACACACGUAAUACAAUGGUGGUAAACAGAGGGAAGCAAAGCCGCGAGGUGGAGCAAAUCCCUAAAAGCCAUCUCAGUUCAGAUUGCAGGCUGCAACUCGCCUGCAUGAAGUCGGAAUUAGGAGUAAUCGCAGAUCAGCAUGCUGCGGUGAAUA